GGCUGGUCCGAUGGCAGUGGGUUAUCAGAACUUAUUAACAUUAGUGUCACUAAAGUUGGUAUACCACCCCCCCCCACUGCUAAAUUUGACUGGCUAAAA
ensembl:misc_RNA Y_RNA Y RNA